UUUUUCCCUUCAGACGUCUCUUUGCUGCCGAGUGAAGCCAUGCUCACAAUCAAUAGUAAUUGAUUAAUCAGCAUCCCCUUUGAACAAAGGUGCUAAUCAGUUUUUGAUUAGUUCAUCAAACCAGAUGCAAAGGCAGCCCAGCCCCUGCCUGAUGGAUCAUCAGGGUUCUACUUGACUUAUGGCUUCCGUGCAAUGUGUGACUGCAGUGUUCCUGGAUAGGGAGGGGGGAACAACGUAAUUAUUAAUUUAACCGAAUUAUUAUGAACACAAACAGUUGUUGGUUUAUUGCUCCCGACUCAGGGGUGAUUGAUAGAGCUGCGGCAAGGCUGCAUCUGACUUGGUGCAGAGCUGAGAGACCCAGAGUAGUCUUUAAUUGAUGAUGCUGGAGGAAGGGGUAAUGGCUGCUUUAGUCCCAUUUUCCUAAGGAGGAGAAAAAUGACUUCUGCGUAUCUGAGUGAUCCUUGUCUGGCUGAUAUGCCAAGAGGGAUCAGGGCCAAGGAGAACUCAGUCCCUUCUUAGGAUCCUUGAGACGAUCCAAUUGCCACUGUGUCACAGGGCUGUUUUAUUUAGGGUCAGGAUCAGAAAUGAGUGGACUACUUACACUCAGCAUGAUAUUCUAAGCAGGGAGAGGAUUCAUCUACUCUCACUUCAAAAAAAAAAGAUCAGGCUAACGUUUUUGCAACUUCUCUAAAUCCAUCACAAAUGGGAGGCAAAAAUAAAACACUGCUUUGAUGGCCAGCUAUCUUUCUAAUCUUCUAUUUAUUUAUCUAUCUAAAUUCCUUGGGAUUUGGAAUUU
rnacentral:lncRNA from 1 species